UUUUCAGUUGUGCAAGGAGCAAAUACCGGUAAGACGUAAAUCCUCCAGCAGUGCCCAGGUCGUUUGGACGGCGCAAGCACAGGAAAUCAGGAAAUUGUUGCUGCUCAGCAUUCGGCUGCAAAAAUACCGUUCUUGAGGAGAGCUGAAGAAAGAAGGGGACUGCAGGAAUUCACAGUCCAAAAUGAUGACCAAGCCUUCCCUGUGAGGGCCUUGACUUCUGCCAUCCCACCCCUGUGGCGGUGGUUCUCCAUGGAAGACCAACAGCAUCUCCCACAUCUUUCCUUUUGCUCUGAAGGACAACAGGUAGCUUGCUCCUUGAGCAGUCAGCUUGCUCUUGACGCGAUUGCUCUUGGACAAUCAUCUGAGGGCCGCUAAUGUCCUGCAAAUUGCAUCUUUCACAUUUUGCAGCAUAUCCCCUUACGGUUCCUCAUGCCCUUGG
rnacentral:lncRNA from 1 species